CACAGAGGGCAGUGGGGACAUCUGCUGAGGGACUUGGCAUGGCAGCUCUCCUCUGAGCAAACCUCUGAAGCCCGGUUCUGCCCUGAGCAUGAGAUGCCUGCUGACUGCAGUGGAAGCUGUGUGCCUGCCUCAGAUAAAUCAAGCCAUUGCCCGUGCUGGCAGAUGUAGUGCUUGGAAAGCUGAUCAGAGGGCUUCUCUGGAUUAGCACAGCUCUCUUGCUUCCCCCCUGACCUUCUAGUGCUGUGACUUCUCAGACAAGAGAUAAAGGGCAGAAAGAACAGAAACUACAUGCUUAAUAGUACAAUGUUAUUGAGCCGAUUAUAGCACUUACCUACCCACCCCCCUAAAAAGAAGCUCAACUUUUUUACCUUUGUUUUCCUAGGAGAACCUGGAGCUCCAGGAAAAGUCAUAAGUGCAGAGGGUUCAUCAACUAUUACUCUGCCAGGCCCACCAGGGCUCCCAGGCCCACCUGGCCCCCCUGGUCCUCCAGGUGUUCCAGGUCCUGUUGGACCAGCUGGUCUCCCUGGACAGCAAGGUCCGCGGGGUGAGAAAGGAUCCCCAGGUGAAGCUGUGAUAGAAACCAUCAGAACAGAAG
rnacentral:lncRNA from 1 species